rnacentral:lncRNA from 1 species
AAUUUUAACUUGUUACCCAUCGCUCAUUCGUUCCUUAUGAACCAACCUAGGGUGAGCAUCUGGCACCCCAGCAAUGUUCUGCCUUUUGUUCCUUCUUCCUCCUCCUCCUCCUCCUUUUCCAACACAGGAAAUGUGUGUAGCUGACGAACCUUUAGAGGAAUUCACUUCGAGGCAUAGCUUGGAAUGGAAAUUUUUAUUUCUGGAUCACAGGUUUGUGAGAAGAAAAACAUAUUUGAGUUGGGUCCUCUUCAAGUGUUGUUUGCAUGAGCCAGGCUCCGCUUGGGAGAAUAAAGUCCAGCCUGGUCCAUGACAGGGAAGGCCUCCUUGGCAGUACAAACCCUUGUUCCCAGCUGAGGGGAAGGUCGAUACCCUGACAUCCUUGUGCCUGCCCCACUUGUGGUCAGGUCCCGUG